AGACCCUGAACCCCGAACCAGUUGUUUAUCUCAAUAGGUCAUGUUCAAACUUCCAUGGCGGUAGAGCUUCGCCAUAUAUAACCCAAUCUGGUUCCGGCCAACGACGAAGAACAAAAAUCACAGUGCGGAGAACAAAUGGCGGACGACGCAGCGGAGAUCUACGACGGAGCGAGAGCCGAAUUUCCUCUCACAUUCGGUAAUCAAUCCAAAUCUCAAACCCCUCUCGAAGCCAUCCACAAUACGACCCGUCGUAACCAGAACCUUCAACAACAGCAACGACAACCACCACCCUCCUCCGCCGACCUCCCUUCUCUCUCCUCCUCCUCCUCCAAAACCUGGCUCAAUUCCCUCCGUACCGCCAAAACCCCCAACCCUAACCCUAACCCUAGCGAUUCGGAUGCAACCCUUAUCUGACCGCCUCGUCCACCGCAGCCUGAUUCGGCCUCCGACGACGACAGCGAUGCCCUCAUCGGACCGCCGCCGCCUCCCGGGAGUGCCGAGAGCGACGACGAUGGUGAGAUGAUUGGACCGCCGGCGCCGGGGAGGUCCAAUAGAGACGAUUGGGAUUCCGAUGCGGAAGAGGAGAACAAGUACCGGAUUCCGGUGAGCAAUGAGAUUGUGCUGAAGGGACACACCAAGGUGGUUUCGGCCCUCGCCAUUGAUCACACUGGUUCUAGAGUUAUAUCUGGUAGCUAUGACCAUUCUGUGAGAAUGUACGAUUUUCAAGGAAUGAAUGCAAAGUUGCAAUCUUUCCGGCAGCUGGAGCCGUCUGAAGGUCAUCAAGUGAGGACUAUAAGCUGAAGCCCCACCGCCGACCGGUUUCUGUGUGUCACCGGCUCAGCUCAGGCAAAGAUUUAUGAUCGUGACGGACUUACGCUAGGAGAGUUUGUCAAAGGGGACAUGUAUAUUCGUGAUCUUAAGAAUACCAAGGGGCAUAUUACUGGAUUGACCUGUGGACAGUGGCACCCUAGAAAGAAAGACGAAAUCUUGACAUCGUCGGAGGAUGGGUCACUACGCAUUUAGGAUUUCAAUAACUUCAAUACAAAGAAACUGGUUGAACCAGAUGUUGGAGAUAAAAUUCCUCAUAGAAAAAAAUUCACGGUCUUUUUCACUCUCACUCUCUCGAGAUCUCAAACAAUUUUGAUCGGUUUCUUCCUCCAUGAUCCGCUGAAACACGUCGCCGUCGGCGAGAAUGGAAGGAAUCUAACGUCUCCGGCGACGAUGCCUUCGCCGUGAUCUGCAACAAGUACGACCGAUACGGCAUCGACAAGUAGAAGGACUCUAAUGUCUCCGGCGACGAUGCCUUCGCUCGCCUCUACUCUGCCGUCGAGUUCGACAUUGAAGCUGCUCUUCAGAAAGCGGAGCUUGCUUCAAAAGAGAAAAGUAGGGCAUUUGCAGUUGCUCUGAAUGUCGUGAUUCGCCGGACCAAGGCUCGAUUGCUUAAAGAGGUUUCCAAGUUGCAGAGAUCGGCUGUAAAGAAGGUGUCCCCCAGAUGUUGUGUUACUAAAAAGAAAUAUGCACGAGUGAGUGGUAUAUAUCUUAUGAUCUCUCAUGCCUCCUUGUAGUUCUGUUUGAAGUUGAGUCAAGAUCUGCACAUGUUUAGGAAGAAGUUUGAGUUACAAAGUUUUGAGUCAAUGCCUCAUUUUAGUUUACUCUUUUACCUUUCUUUUCACUCAUUUAUUAAAUGUUUUGACUUGCCGCCUUUGUUCUUGUUUUAGAAAAAAGUUGAAUGCUAACUUAGUCUUUGUAGUGCUAGAUACACAGCCUUCUGUAGUUGGAACCUGGAAACUAUUACUAGGGUGACUAUAAGGGAAUUGAGGGCUAACUGUGUGAAUAGUAUGAUUUGCUACUAGUAGAAAAUGAUGUUCAGUUAGGUUUGGGUUACACAAAAAUGCUCGUCAUUAUUUUGCAGAUGGUAUAUGUCAGAAAUUGCUGGAGCUGAAACCAAGAAUGCCUCGUGGAAUUUUAUGUAUAAAUUUUAUGAUGCACAAGUUGUUCUUUAUCAUUCAGGAGUACAACAAGAUGUUGAAGCCAAGCCAUGUGUCCCAAUAGUCUAUUAAUAGAUAAAAUGUUGUUUUUCUUUACUGACUAUAGAGCUCAAUUUUGCAUCUGGGUUUCUGUUUACUUUUCUCUACUUAUCGUGCUUGCUUUUCAUGGCAGAUGUAUUAUCCACAGAGCAAUGCUUGCUCGCACAGCUAGUCUUUCUUAUUUAAUUAUUUUAUGAUAGUUAUGCGACUGUCAAAAUACAUGACUUUGACCUUGGAUCAUGCUCAUUUGAUCAGUUUGUAAUAGAAAUACCAGCUGAUGUAUUUGUUUUUGAUAGUA